ensembl:lncRNA
CUUGAUUUGGCCUUCCGCGUUCCAUUCAAUCAGACAAUGGACCUGCCUUCAUCUCUCAGAUCACCCGACAGGUAAUACGGAUGCACAUCCUCUUACAGCAGCAGUUUCGGGCCUUCCUUGAGUGUGCUCUGGAAAACGUCGCUUGGUGCUGCCCACAGGAUGACAUCCCUGAGACAAUCCUCCAAGUAACAUUCCAUUACACCCAUAUUCUGUAGUUUGUCCAUAUUCCUGCUGGCCAUUUCAGUGUUUUUCCAUUAUGAAUAAAGUUGCUAUGAAUAUUUGGAACCGGGGAUCGAACUUGGGACCUUGUGCUUGCAAGACAGGUGGCAGAACCACUGAGCUAAAUCCCUGGCCUGCUAUGAAUAUUUUUAUACAAGAUGCAGAUGUGUAUGAGUGUGUGAAACUAUAUUUUUAUUUCUCUUGGAGAAAUGCCCCAGGAAGAAAUUACUGAGUCAUAAGACAGAUGUAUACAUUUAAGAAUAUGCAAAACUGUUCUCCAAGAAUACUAUGCUAUUUUAAAUUUUCACUGAAUUGAGAAUUCCAGUUUCUCCAUAUCCACAAUGUUGUUAGAUGUUUGCUGCCUUUACUUAAAUUUAAUUUUUUACUGGUACACA